CCUAGCUUCGGCUGGACGUAUACUAAAAUUGGAACGAUACAGAGAAGAUUAGCAUGACCCCUGCGCUAAGAUGACAAUGCUAAUAAGAUGAACGCCUAAAUGUAU
rfam:Anopheles arabiensis strain DONG5_A unplaced genomic scaffold supercont1.1, whole genome shotgun sequence.